rnacentral:lncRNA from 1 species
CUGGAGUCCAGCUCUAAGCUGGUUCCAGGCUCUAGCCAGGACCUGACUACAACCUACUUAGCAGUGAAGGAGGACCCAUAUUAAGAUGUGCCAGGAAACAGAGCCAAUGGAAAACCAGCAUAGACAGGAACUGUUCGAGACAGAUUAGUUUAAAAGAGGAUGGACAAUUUUAUGGGCCGCAUUGAAGAAGUUUGAGGGGGCAGAGAAAUGGAAAUAUUACGUUAAAGAUCAUAGCAUUCAAUAAAUAAAGAACUUGGUAAGUUUCA